CAUCAUAGUAUUUUGGGUAAGAUCCAAACCUAUAGUGACCUGGUAAUGUGGCUGACUCUGAGGUCAGAAGAACACUGUGUUUAUAUGAGCAGAGUUUUUAAAUAACCUCUCACUGUACUGGACCUAGGUGCUGAUUGGGAGUCAGAGAAGUGCAAUGCAAUAAAGGGGGCUGUGAUUUCUUUUUUCAGUUUCUCGAUAACCAGCGUGGGGGAUCAGAAGCACAGUUUGUGAGUGGUCGGUGAAUUUAACUUCAGUGUUUACCACCAGUUUGGGGAGCAUCUGCUCUGCCUUUUUCAGCCUACCCUGAUCUUGGCAUUUUCACUGAGGACUGCCCCAGGCACACCAGGGUUUCUAGUUUUCAAAUCUGAUGUGAUCUCCCAGCUGGAACAAGGGGAAGAGCCAUGGGUCCCAGACCUCCAGAAUUCAGAGGAAAGAGAGAUCCUGAGAGCUCCCUGCACAGAUGAGGAAACAUUAAACCAACUCAGAAUCUCAGGUGAUGCAAUGGUAUGUGAGAAAGAGGAGCAGAAUUCUCAGCAGGAAAACGUUGAGCAAGUGGAUAAACACAGAGCAUUAUCACAAAGAUCAAAAAGGAAUGUGUCCAGGAGUUAUGAGAAGGAAAAAUCCUGUGAGAUUCAGCACAGACCAGAAAGAGAGCAAGGACACCACUCAGGGGAGAAAGUGGGUAAAUUUAUUUCCUGUUGGGGAAAUCAGAAGAGUGUCAAGGAAACCACAACACAGCAGGAAAUCCUCAUGGGAAAGAGGAAAAAUACAUGCAGUGGGUGUGGAAAAUGCUUCACUAAAAGAUCAGCCCUUUCUAUACAUCAGAGAAUCCACACAGGGGAGAGGCCCUAUGAAUGCCGUGAGUGUGGGAAAAACUUCAUUAGCAGAUCAGCCCUUUCUAACCAUCAGAGAAUCCACACAGGGGAGAGGCCCUAUGAAUGC